AACGAACGCUGGCGGCAGGCUUAACACAUGCAAGUCGAGCGCCCCGCAAGGGGAGCGGCAGUCGGGUGAGUAACGCGUGGGAAUCUACCCAUCUCUACGGAUUAACGCAUGGAAACGUGUGCUAAUACCGUAUACGUCCUCCGGGAGAAAGAUUUAUCGGAGAUGGAUGAGCCCGCGUUGGAUUAGAUAGUUGGUGGGGUAAAGGCCUACCAAGGCGACGAUCCAUAGCUGAUCGGAGAGGACGCUCCGCCACACCGGGACUGAGACACGGCCCAGACUCCUACGGGAGGCAAUAGUGGGGAAUAUUGGACAAUGGGCGCAAGCCUGAUCCAGCCAUGCCGCGUGAGUGAUGAAGGCCCUAGGGUUGUAAAGCUCUUUCACCGGUGAAGAUAAUGACGGUAACCGGAGAAGAAGCCCCGGCUAACUUCGUGCCAGCAGCCGCGGUAAGAC
rnacentral:rRNA from 1 species